UUCUUUUCAGCUUGUUAUAAGCUUUUAAUGAUAAAUUCCUUAUAUUGUUGUAUUCUUUUUAAUUUUUGGGUUUCAAUUUUGAUGAUCUUAGCCAUGUAAUGGAUUGUAUAUUGGGGAUAAAGAAUUAGGGUUUUUUUUUUUUUUUUUUUUGUUUUUGGUAAUGGAAAUGGAGAGUACUCGUAGAUCCUUCGAUAGAUCAAGGGAACCGGAGGGAACCGGGCUUGAAGAAGCCUCGAUUGGCCGAAGAUCGAACAAACGUUAAUGCUCGCCCUUUCCCUCAGAGGCCAGCUGCAGUACUGCCACCGCUGUCUUCUACUGCAAGAUUUAGAGCUACUAGCGAUAGAGAAUCAGAGAGCAAUGUUUUGAGCCGUGGCGGCGCGUACCAGCCGCAACCACAGCAAUAUCAGGAGCUCGUGAACCAGUACAAGACAGCUCUCGCGGAACUCACUUUCAAUUCGAAGCCUAUUAUCACUAACUUGACAAUAAUUGCUGGCGAAAAUCUCCAUGCAGCGAAGGCAAUUGCUGCCACUGUUUGCGCUAACAUUCUUGAGGUGAUCCCCAGUUUUGUUUCUAUUUUGGUUAUGGCGCCCGAUUGUUGUUUGAUUUAAUUGUAAAGUAUAGCUCCAAAAGAAGAAUAAAAGUAGUCUUGUAACUACAGAUUAAUGACAACUUCUUGUGUUCCAGCAAACAGUGGCAGCAAUUGCCUUCGCUG
rnacentral:misc_RNA from 1 species